GACGUCGUCUCACCUCCGGAACCUGAAGAAGCCGGGGACCCCCGCCUGGCCCCAGAGGCCUCCCGCGAGGAGAGCAUCCUCCCCGGCUGCUGCC